GCCAGUUCUCCAGUCCCAGUAGUAUUUAUUCUUUAAAUAUUUCCUUAUUCAGAAAAUGAUUUAGAGACAAAUGGUUAAACUGGUUGUGGUGGCAGGCACCUCUAAAAGCAAUACUUGAAAGGCUGAGACAGGAGAAUCUCAAAUUCAAUGCUAGCCUUGACAUACCAAAAAAACAAAUAUUUAUAUAAAACUACAACAACAAAAACCUACAAGAGAUAAAAACAACAAAAAAGUUAUUUUAAAUGAAAGCAGAUUUGAACUGGAUGAACCCACUAAAUCUGAUGUUAAAAGGUUUGUGGUCAUCUUAUUAAUUCAGAUGCAUAGCCUUUAUUCUGGAGGUUUUCCAAUUUAGCUAGCUCUAACAAGGCCCUUGGAGGCUUGCUUUGCUUCACAGUCACCUCUGAGGCAAGCCCAGGAUGACCUCCCUACCUUCUACAACAAGCCUUUAGGAGAAAGGGGACUACCAGACUAAUUAGGUUGGUCAAUAAGAAAAUACCAAGCACUGUCCACACCCAGGCUCCAAAUGCUGACACCACAGGAACAUAGUGUGUGGGCCUUCCCAGCUGUCCAAGAGUGCCUACCUCAGGCUUUUUAGCUCACACUGAAAGUUAGCUUUGGUUUGCUGUGUUUCAUAUUUUGGCUUACUAUAUACAAGUGUGACACAUUUGUGGCAAAAAGACUGUACCCGAAUGAAGACAUCUGCAGCGAGAACUGGAGACAUGACAGCUGCUGGUCUAACGGGAAUAUGCAAAUCGACCCGCUAGCCUUUUCUGUUUGGAGCAAUUGAAACUUUGAGGCCAGCUUCAAAAGAGGAUUAAAUUUUCCCUACAAAGCAAAAACCCAUGCAUAACUUAGUAGUUGGUAGGAAAUCUGAUAUUUUCUGCCCAGCUCCUGGAACUAUCCCAGACUACACAUGGUUGGUGAACUAGAAUUGAAAGCUCCCCCCAUCUCCUUGCAAAGACAGGGUUUCACUCUGUAACUCAGAACGGUCUUGAACUCACAACAAUCCUCUUGCCUCAGGCUCUAACGCUCCGAUCACAGGUGUAUGCGACCAAGUCCAUCAAGGCUUGUGGCUUUUGACUCAGAUCCAAGAUUGUUUCACUAUACCUCACUCUGCUCCACUCGCAGCAAUGUGUGCGCCCUUUAUCAGUCUUCUUUUGAGCCAGCCACGGUGGUGCAUGCCUAUAAUAAUCCCAGUGGAGGCAGGAGGAUGGUGAGAUUGAGACCUUGGCUGCAAGCAGUACCAUUUGCUUAACUGGACAUUGAAGAAAAGAACAGAGUGCUGGAAAUCCAUCUUAGUUCUUCUGGAACGAUGACCCUCCCCGCUCAUCUGACCUCACAAUUUCAAAGCUUGAUACAACAAGGGAUCAGUUGGAAGAGAAAACCUCAACUGAAGAUUGCAUUGAUUAAAGUGACCUGUGGGCAUGUCUUCUGGGUAUUCUGUUGACUGUUAAUUGAUGCAGGAGGGCUCAGCCCACUGUGGGCAGUACCAUCCCUAGGCAGUCAAGACGUAAGGACUCUCACCUCCAGCCCGGAACCUGCCUGCAGGCCGCCAUGUUCUCUGCCAUGAGGAUAAUGGACUGAACCUCUGAAACUGUAAGUGAGCCACCCCAAUUAAAUGUCUCCUUUACAAGAUUUGUCGUGGUCAUGGUGGCUCCUCAAAGCAAUGAGAACCCUAACUAGGACACCGUGCCCAUCUGCCUGCUGCUUUGUUUUACAUCAUGAUGGUCACAGCCUCUAACCCUCUGGAUCUGUGAGUCGCAAAUGAAAUGCUUUCUUUUAUAAGUUGUCUUGGUCAUGGUGUCUUGUGAUAGCAAUAGAAAAGUAAUUAAGCUAUGGUGAUAAGGAUGCACAAGGAUGCAACAAGAAUGCACAUUUGCAAAGGUUCAAUACUGUGGGCUUCCAAACACACGAUACCAGGAAAGGAACCAUGGAGACAGUAAAAAGAUGGGUGAUUUCCAGGGAUGCAAGGGAGGGGCAGGAGGGGCCGCUGUGUGGAACACAGGAUGUUUUUAGAAAGUUAAAUAAUCCUGUGUUGUUUUGUGCAUGUCAUUGUACACUAACCAGACUGCACACCAAAGAUGAGCCCUGAUGUAAACUUUGGACUUCAGUAAAAAAUGUGUCAAUCCCAGCUUAUCAUUUACAGCAAAUGUGCUAUAUGAUUCUAUGAUUCAGUGAUAACAAGAUAGCAAGAUGAGAGGGAAGAUAAAAGACAGGUAGAAACUCCUUGUACUUCCCACUAACUUUUUUUUUUUU